GCGAUACCGCGAAUGGCUCAAUAUAUCAGUUUUGGUUCCUUAGAUCUUACUCAGUUACUUGGAUAACUGUGGCAAUUCUAGAGCUAAUACAUGCAAUCAGAACUCUGACCAGUGAUGGAAUGAGUGCUUUUAUUAGAUCAAAACCAAUCGACGGAGGGKCAACCGAUGUCGUUCUAUUUUGAUGAAUCUGGAUAACUUUUGCCGAUCGCAUGGUCUCGUACCGGCGAUGRAUCUUUCAAAUGUCUGCCUUAUCAACUUUCGAUGGUAGUUUCUGCGACUACRAUMGUUGUCACGGGUAACGGGGAAUCAGGGUUCGAUUCCGGAGAGGGAGCCUGAVAAACGGCUACCACAUCCAAGGAAGGCAGCAGGCGCGCAAAUUACCCACUCCCGGCACGGGGAGGUAGUGAVGAAAAAUAACGAUACGGGACUCAUUUGAGGCCUCGUAAUCGGAAUGAGUACACUAUAAAUAUUUUAACGAGGAACAAUUGGAGGGCAAGUCUGGUKCCAGCAGCCGCGUAAUUCCAGCUCCAAUAGCGUAUACUAAAAUUGUUGCGGUUAAAAAGCU
rnacentral:rRNA from 1 species